GCUGUUUGGAUUUGUGGAAACACACCUUACUUCCUCAAAGAAAAAGAGCCAUGCAUCUUGUUUUCCGGGGCGGCCAGUAAUGUAUGCAGAAAUUUUUAUAAGUAAUGUGGACAUUUAACAUAGAAAAUCGAUGAACGAACUAGAGAGAAGAAUAGUUAACUUUUCUAGCAUGACGAUUUUAAUUUAGCAUGGCAUGCUAUGUUUUACCAAUUAAUGCUUACAAAAACCAACAAAAAACAAGAAAACAAAAAUACAAAAACAAUGCUUCGCUCACAAUGAAGUUCAAUCUCCAGUUGUGAGCCUCAUGGGAGAGGUGCCCAACCAAUAGACCACAGAAGGCUUUGUGCUAAGGUCGUGUCAUUAUAUAUUUAUAUAUACAAAUUUAUUUUCUUUUUUCCAGAUUUUAUGUAUGUAUCGAUUAAUAUUCUCGAU
rnacentral:lncRNA from 1 species